UCAAUCUGAGGCACAAUUUCAAAUCUCUCCAUAGCUUUGAAGCAUCUUCUCUUCUUCUACCAGACCACAAUGGUUGCAAGCAGAUAACACACUAGUCAUAGUUAUCUCAUUUGGUUCAAACCAUUAUUCCUGUAAAAUCACCGCAAACACCUCCAACGCUUCCUACGAACAUCCAUUGACUCCGCAGUGUCCACGGCAUUCAUAUCAGCCUCAGCAGUGGUUGUCUCUGUCACCAAUUGUACAGUGUUCUUUGUAGCAUCCCAUGCAGUUUCCACAUUUUCCUUACCAACUUCUUCAACACUCUCCAGCACUUCUCUUGCUUUCUCUGAUCCUUGAUUUAUUGCUCCUAAUGGAUCACCACCCUGAAUUAAAUAAAGUACACAGUAUUUAAAAAUACAUAUUUGUAAAAGAAAAAAAAAUUGAGGUAUACUUGAGUAUGAAUGUGAGAUUGUUUUGCAAUUGAGAAGUUGAAAACUUUGGCAGCAUUAGGAGUGGUUUUGACCAAUUCUUUACACUGCGCAAGAAAGUGAAAUGUUUUUGCCAUUUUUCAGUGAUGAUAGGUG
rnacentral:lncRNA from 1 species